AACGAACGCUGGCGGCAUGCCUAACACAUGCAAGUCGAACGAGACCUUCGGGUCUAGUGGCGCACGGGUGCGUAACGCGUGGGAACCUGCCCUUAGGUUCGGAAUAACUCCCCGAAAGGGGUGCUAAUACCGGAUAAUGUCUUCGGACCAAAGAUUUAUCGCCUUUGGAUGGGCCCGCGUUGGAUUAGCUAGUUGGUAGGGUAAAAGCCUACCAAGGCGACGAUCCAUAGCUGGUCUGAGAGGAGGAUCAGCCACACUGGGACUGAGACACGGCCCAGACUCCUACGGGAGGCAGCAGUGGGGAAUAUUGGACGAUGGGCGCAAGCCUGAUCCAGCAAUGCCGCGUGAGUGAUGAAGGCCUUAGGGUUGUAAAGCUCUUUUACCCGGGAUGAUAAUGACAGUACCGGGAGAAUAAGCUCCGGCUAACUCCGUG
rnacentral:rRNA from 1 species